CAAAAUAAAUUUUUGUUAAAUGAUUCUGUCGUAUUUCAUCCAUUUUGUUCACCAGUGACUGUACGUUAACGAGGAAAAGGCUAGGUAGUGAAGGCUGUUGGGGGGCUAGCAUUAGCCUAGCUGGGAUGCCUCCACGCUUCCCACGCCUUUGUUACAAAUGGCAUCUCCUGGAGCAUCUUCUUAAUCUCCGGUGGAAGUUGGAAGUUGUCAAAAACUCUUUCUGUGCAAUUUCCAGGAGUUCUUGUCGACUGUAUAAAGUGUACACUAGGCUACACUGAGUGAAUAAGCUAAUUUACUGUUAAGUAAAUUACUGCUAAUUUGCUUAAUAGUUCUUAGCUUAUUCACUACCUGAUAGUAACGCUUGCGGCCGAUCUGCGCUUUAUUUCAGAGUCAACCUAUUUGAGUGAUUGUCCUUGCUAAUGUUAUUCUCCUCUGUUCAGAGAUCCACCACAUCAUGCCUACAACCUCGUCCUCCUGCCUGCCCGCCAGCCUACCUGCUCUGCCCAUGCUGCCUGCCAUCCCUGCCGCCCUGUCUGCCUUACCCCUCUGGCCAACCCUACUACCCCGCCUACCAGCCCAGCCCUCACCCCCCCGGCCUUGCCUCAGUCCUGAUACCUGCAUUACACCCUGAGUUUAGUUGCUUGGGUCCACUAGAGAAUGAACCACCACAAAGGGACACGGCAGAAAUGGACGGUAGAGGAACUCCUCGGUUGGCCUGACAGCGACACUGAGGAGGAGGAGGAGAACCCCUACCGUCCCCUGCGGCACACCGGGCCAACACAGCGUCCACCCACAAGGAGACGUCGAAAGAGGCGACGGAAGCAAACCUCCGUGUGUCCGCCCCAAGAAUUUCUGGCUGCGUGGGGGCGAGCGGAGUGGCAGGACACGGCCGUGCCACCCGUGCUCACGUGUGGGGUAGUCCAGGUGCCCCAGCCCUGCCCGGUGCCAGCUCCUAGGCGUCGGGCAACAACGCCGGUGGGGCCUAUGAGGGCUUUCCCUGAUGUAGGGAGAUGCGAGGACUGGUGGGGCUAUCGGGACCCGCCGUACCGGUUCUCGCAGCCAGCGCCCCCCGCUGCCUGGGAGCCGCCGCCAGCGCCCCACGCUGCCCGGGAGCCGCAGCCAGCGC
ensembl:lncRNA